CCAAAAUUCAGAGGCAGACAUCUCCAGAAGCCAUCAAGGCUUUGAUUUACCACUGUCUUUCUGCUGUAGAUACAGCUGGAGGGACAAGCAGCGCACCAGAAGCAAAGGUCAUCAAUUUGAUUUCUCAGUGUCUGAGAGCUUGGUAGUCUCAUUUGGAACAGCAAUCAGCUGUGCACAUCGAUCUUUAGCACCUUGUAUUCAAUUUUCAUGCAGCUGUUUACAGCAUGGAGCAAAGAAACUUUCUGACAAAUGGAGGUUUAACAGCAAAUAUUCAUUUCGGAAGCGUUGUACUGCAACCAUUAAUAAACUGAGUCCCACAGCGAGGGACUCACAGGAGAGAACAAGAGGAGGAAAAGACUGGGAAAUAGGAAAAGACACCAAGGAUAAUAAAAGACACACAGAUCAGCAAAGCUGUGAUGUGAUGACCACACCUGGAGCUUUCACAUCCCCCAGUCUCUGCGACAAUGACAGCCGUCUCCUUUCUUUGGUUCAGUUUGCGGUUGCUCAACAGUUCAUAAAAAUCAUUUUGGACAACAGAACAUUCAACAAUCCAAAACAGAACUGUUAAAAACCCAGGACUUAAUUUUCAGAUUACAUAUACAAAGCAAGUAAUUAAAUUUCUAAAAACUAAAGUUGCCGUAGAUGGAAAACAGCACAUGUG
ensembl:lncRNA